CAGGACGUAGCUCAGCUUGGUAGAGCGCUUGGUUCGGGUCCAAGAGACCGCAGGUUCAAAUCCCGUCGUCCUGACCA
rnacentral:tRNA from 1 species